UACAGAGGUCUCAAGCGUUGUUCGGAUUCAUUGGGCGUAAAGGGUGCGUAGGCGGCGCGGUAAGUCGGGUGUGAAAUUUCGAGGCUUAACUUCGAAACUGCAUUCGAUACUGCCGUGCUUGAGGACUGGAGAGGAGACUGGAAUUUACGGUGUAGCGGUGAAAUGCGUAGAUAUCGUAAGGAAGACCAGUGGCGAAGGCGGGUCUCUGGACAGUUCCUGACGCCGAGGCACGAAGGCCAGGGGAGCAAACGGG
rnacentral:rRNA from 1 species